rnacentral:lncRNA from 1 species
UAGAUUGUGGUGACUGUGGUGAGAUUAACAACACCCUUUAUUACAUUAUAAAUUAGAGAGAGACUAGAGUGAAGGACAAACUACGAAGACAUUAAGGUAGGAUAUAAAUAAAUUUUUUUGUCAACUACAAAUUCAUAUAUACUUGAUUUUGAAUUUGCAUGAAAUCACCUGGAGUACACACAAAUCUAACAUGUCUCCUAAGUGAAAGAGGCCGCUCAUGCAAGAAUGAGGUUCAAAGUAGUAAAUGCUUCCAAAUCUACCUGAAACUUCUCACACUCUUCACAAACCAGUUAAUCCAUACCCCUCUCAGUGAACCGCAUUACACAGAGUGCAUUUAGGAAGGCCAGUUUAAUCAAUGUAUUGUGUCAUCACAGAGACCGCAAUGCACUUGCAGGAGGAUUAUACCAAAACAAUUGUGUGCGAAACAUCCAUGGAAACAUGCCAAUGCAACCCCGCUCCCCACAAAGAUGCAACAUUGAGAGAGGGACGUGCAGUAUCAAGCUCUAUCCAUCUGCAUGCACU